rnacentral:sRNA from 1 species
GUUUGCCUCGUUCUAAUCAGAGCUUCCAGGAACCCUGCGCUGUGGGAUAGAGGAAUGAGGUUCAGAAAGGGGCAGGGAGUUGCCCGCAGCCGUACCGCACGUCUUCAGCCCGACCGUUGUCCUGACCUCUCUGUCCCGUCCCCUGCCCAGUUUCACCAUGGCCUUCUGGACACAGCUGAGGCUGCUGCUCUGGAAGAAUUUCAUGUAUCGCCGGAGACAGCCGGUCCAGCUCCUGGUCGAAUUGCUGUGGCCGCUCUUCCUCUUCUUCAUCCUGGUGGCUGUUCGCCAUUCCCACCCGCCCCUGGAGCACCAUGAAUGCCACUUCCCAAACAAGCCACUGCCAUCGGCGGGCACCGUGCCCUGGCUCCAGGGUCUCAUCUGUAACGUGAACAACACCUGCUUUCCGCAGCUGACCCCGGGCGAGGAGCCCGGGCGCCUGAGCAACUUCAACGACUCCCUGUGAGCCAGAGGCAGUGGGUGCGGCCGGCCUGCAAACUUGGGGCUGCAAUGCCGGCCGGAACCCCGCCUCCUGCCCUCUCUCUGUCCCCAGGGUCUCCCGGCUGCUAGCCGAUGCCCGCACUGUGCUGGGAG